CCCACAGCACUCUGAUGACGCAGCCAGGUGACCCUCUGAUGACGCAGCCAAGUGACUCUCUGAUGACGCAGCCAGGUGACCCUCUGAUGACGCAGCCAAGUGACUCUCUGAUGACGUAGCCAGGUGACUCUCUGAUGACGCAGCCAGGUGACUCUCUGAUGACGCCGCCAGGUGGCUCUCUGAUGACGCAGCCAGGUGACUCUCUGAUGAUGCAGCCAGGUGACUCUCUGAUGACGCAGCCAGGUGACCCUCUGAUGAUGCAGCCAGGUGACUCUCUGAUGAUGCAGCCAGGUGACUCUCUGAUGACGCAGCCAGGUGACCCUCUGAUGAUGCAGCCAGGUGACUCUCUGAUGACGCAGCCAGGUGACUCUCUGAUGAUGCAGCCAGGUGGCACUCUGAUGAUGUAGCCAGGUGACUCUCUGAUGACGCAGCCAGGUGACUCUCUGAUGAUGCAGCCAGGUGACUCUCUGAUGAUGCAGCCAGGUGACCCUCUGAUGAUGCAGCCAGGUGACUCUCUGAUGAUGCAGCCAGGUGACUCUCUGAUGACGCAGCCAGGUUCUGAUGAUGCAGCCAGGUGACUCUCUGAUGACGCAGCCAGGUGACUCUCUGAUGACGCAGCCAGGUGACUCUCUGAUGACGCAGCCAGGUGACUCUCUGAUGACGCAGCCAGGUGACUCUCUGAUGACGCAGCCAGGUGACUCUCUGAUGAUGUAGCCAGGUGACUCUCUGAUGACGCAGCCAGGUGACUCUCUGAUGACGCAGCCAGGUGACUCUCUGAUGACGCAGCCAGGUGACUCUCUGAUGACGCAGCCAGGUGCACCUCGGUAGAUC
rnacentral:lncRNA from 1 species